GGGUUAGUAGGUUGGUCCUGCCUCUGGUAUGUACUGGUCUCAAUGCUUCCUCCUUCCUGAUGAAACUUAAUGCCAUUUAUUUGGUGUUUUGGGGAAUUUGGACUGUUACUUUGAAAAAAUUAGUGUGUUUAAAGCAAGCUAACGCUUGAAUACAUUAGCAUGGAAUAAUGAAAUAGGACGUUCGAUCCUAUUUUGUUGGUUUCUAGGAUUGACGUA
rnacentral:rRNA from 1 species